rnacentral:lncRNA from 1 species
CUCCCCUGGGUUCAAUCUCCAGUGCCUAAAAAAAGGUAGCAAAAUAUAAAGUUUCUUUUUCUUCCAUAGUAUCUCUUUUGAUUUUUAAAUGGCUGUUUAAUGUUAAGAAAGCUUAAAAUUUGAAUCAUUAGUAUGAAUUUUGCCCCUCAUCUCUAUAUUGUGCUAUGCCAGUUUUGAAUACAAAUACGGGAACACUUAACCUGUGUGUGGAAUCACAAAAACGAUACAACUUACGUCUUGUAGUCCCCACAUGCAUUUCAUUCUUAUCAGGAGAGUAGAAAGGCUGCACAAAACUCAACCUCUUUAUUCCACUUCUUGGUAACACAUGUUCCCUUGCGCUCUCUACCUUCCACUUACUAAUGAGUAAAGAAGUACUAAGAGGAAAAGGAAGUGCAGGCUGCGCUAUCUUUCCCUUUCCCCUGCCAUGUCAUCCUUUUCAAGUUAAGUGGCUGGCUAAUACAAGAAAGUGACACAAAGAAGAAAGGAUGGGAUAGGGUCUCUUCAUUGUUGAUGUUUCUUACCACACCAUGGCUUUUUUUUUUUUUUCUGGAACAAAAGCAAGCUCUGGUUUGAAUGGAAAGCCUGGCCUUUCCAGAUGCUUGGUAUCUUCCCUGUAACUCCUUCGCUGAGACUCUCCUGCAUUCUCGUGCAUCAAGGGUCCUCUGCAAGUCUCCGCUCACAGAGCAGAGGCAACACCAUAUGCAAACAUAUUAUGCCGUGUAUUCCCUUGAUUAGGUGCAUGUUCCAUUGUCCUGUUGGACUUUACUUAUAACACAGACUUAAAUAUUAAAAUCACUAAAGCCUUUCAAGAUGGCAAUAGCAAACCUUGAACCCUUUUGAGUGGAGGGCCCUGUGUGACAAAAGCUCAGGAAACACCCAUAAAGCUGGCAGAGAGCAGAGCCCUAGGCUGCCUGCCUACUGGGUGUUCCAUGAGAUUGAAAAACAUUUCUAUCUAAAGAUGUUUUAUUUUGAGAUCUUUGCUGCAUUUUGCUUCCUGACUGGUGUGAACACUUUUAGUUCUCAAAACACAUUGCCAGGGCUGGGGCUGUAGCUCAGUGGGUAAAGCACUUGCUUUGCAUGUGUGAGGUACUGGGUUCAAUCCUCAGCACCAUAUAAAAAGAUAUUGUGUCCAUUUAAAACUAAAAAAAACAAACAAAACAAAGAAACAAAUAAACAAACAAAAAACAUUGCCAGAUAGCAUAAAUAAGAAAGAAUACCUCUCUAUUUAGUUAACACUAAAUGUUGACUGUGUAUGACUAUGUAUGUUUUGUAGUUCCCGCAUGCAUAUGAAUUUCAUAUGCAUAUUUCAUACAUGCAUACUACAAGACAUAUAUACUCUUGCUAUUUUCUUCAUUGUGAUGUUUCACUAGCCCCUCUAAUUUAAAAUGCCUCAAACUCAUUUCCCCUCCUAUACCAAAUGUAGACACAAAACAACUAACAUUUAAUUAGCUGUAAACAUGUACCAAACAUUUUAAUUCCUAUUUAGUAGUUAUACCAUAUUUACUACCUUUUCCCAGAUGAGGAAAUGGAAGCUUAGAAAGUAUAUUUCACUUGUUAAAGGGUUACUGAGUUGAAAUAGUUACUGAGUUGAAAUAUAAUCACUGUAUUUAUGACCCCAAAGUCUAUGUAAUUAAUCCCUUCUCUUUCCUUAGCUUUUCUAGGAUUGCAAGAUAAUUCCUGAAACAAUGGCUGUGGUGUGAUUGUGGAAAGAAAGGUCUUCCUUUGAUCUUGCAGCAAAGCAGUGUCUAUAGUAAAUCCAGGACCCUGGUGUUCUACAGAUCACUAUGGUACUAUGAUCCCUACCAACAGACAUCCUAAAAACCUAUGUGUUCAGCCCAGAGGAGUUUCUUAGAGAAGCUGUGGUCCUCUAUUCCUUAGUGACCUCUUGUGGCAAGUGGACUACCUGCUGUGAACCAUCCUCCAGAGGAUAAAGAGCUUAUCACUCACUGUUAUGCCCAACCCUGGACCACACAAAAGGCUUCAGGGGAAUCUGGUUAGGAAGUGGGGUAGUAUUUGGUCUCACACACACACUGACAUGCCUGGAAACAGGCUAGAGGAGACAUCCUCAUCAUUCCAAUGUGUCCAAAGUGAGCCAAGGAUAUAAAAGCACCAGGUUUUCUGUUUCUUGGACUUGUCUUUGUAUCUUUUCCCCAAUUCCUUCUCCUCUCUUCCUUUAGGUGAGGAGAGAAAGCUAUAUUGAAGCAUAAAUCAGAUUGAAGAAUUAAAUAAUAUUAACAAGACUAGCAGCACAGCAAUGUGUACAAGGUUGAUUUUAACAGAAUAAAUUUUUAAAAUAUGAAUAUCAGUAGGAGCUUUCAAGUGAUUGUAUUAACAUUAAUAUGUACACAGUGUAAUACUAUAAAGGUAUAAAACUUGUUUAUAAUGGAGGCAGAGGAGUUGGGGUAAAAAAACAAACUAUCUGGGGGUGUAACUCAAAGGUAGAGCAUUUGUCUGGCAUAUGUGAAGCCCUGGGUUUCAUUCCCAGCACCACAACAUAAGCAAAAACCAAACAAAUAAAAGAAGCCACAUUACAAAAUAUUUUUUAUGAUAUAUAUUUUUAUAAUGUUGGAGUGAGUUUCCAUGCAAACAGAAAAGAAAUUCACCAAAAUGUUAACAGUGGUAGUUAUCUCUGAGUGGUGAUAUAAAAGAUUCAACAUUUGUUCUCUACAUUUUUAUAUAUUUCAGUGGUUCUCAGUGUAUUAAAAGUCUGGGGCUGAGGAUGUGGCUCAAGCAGUAACGCGGUCGCCUGGCAUGUGCAAGGCGUUGGGUUCGAUCCUCCAGCACCACAUAAAAUAAAAUGUUGUGUCCACCGAAAACUGAAAAAUAAAUAUUAAAAAAAUUCUCUCUCUAAAAAAAAAAAGUCUGUUAUGCAUCUGAAUGCUAGACCAAUUAAGUCAGAAUGUUCAGGGUAAGGCUUGCUUGGGUACUGGUAAAAAUUCCUCCUGAUGAUUGUAAUGUGCAAUCAGGCUUGAGAACCAGUGUUAUUUUGUUUGGUUUUACAAUCAGUGUUCAUUUUUAUAAGUCAGGAAACCAGACAAAGUUAUCUCGAUUUUACCAAUUUGUAUGCAAUGUGCAUUUGUGCAUAUAGGCAGUUGCAGAAAUUAAGCUGAAGCCAGUAAAACAUCCAAAGGAAACAGUAAAGUGGCCUCACUGAUAACUGAUUGUGGAAUCUGAAGUCAGGAAAACCUGGCUUUGCUUCAUUAUUCUAAUCCCUCCUGGCUGUUACCUGGAGCUACUCACUUCAUCUGUUUGAAUGUGCUUCUCCUCUAGUAAAGGCAGGCAGAAGGAUGAGAAUUAAGUAUUGCAUGUGCUUAAGUUAUUCGUUAUAAUAAAGAUAG